UUGCUUUUCUGAAUACCAGUUUUUAUCAUUUUGUUCGGUCCGCUGGGGACAUGACUUCCUUCAUUAAGCUUUUUGGCGGUUCCUCUGGGGAUACGGCUCUCUUCAUCAGAUCUGUUAUGCUGGGCAUAAUUUAAUGUUCAUAGGACGCUUCUUUCAAGACGCGUCUUUUCUUCCUUUUGACUCAUGCGCUUGAACUUGUGUUAAGACCUCUUGUUGCAACUUUCUGCUUUCCGGUGCUGGGGAUUUUUAUUGUUUCCUGCUGGGGAUUCCUGUUGUAACCUUCUACCUUCCGGUGGGUUACUAAUUUCAAGAUUUGCAGUAUAAGACUCAAAAGUAUUCCUCUUGUUAUACAGGUGGGUGCCUGAAUGCAAAAAUAUGAAAUGUAUGCCCGCAUUAUACUGGUGGGCGACCUAGAACAGAAAUGAAAAGACAGAAAUAUAUUCCCGCAUUAUACUGGUGGGCGACCUAGAAUAGAAAUAAAGAGACAGAAAAUGUAUUCCCGCAUUAUACUGGUGGGCGACCUAGAACUGAAAGUAUUCCCGCAUUUUACUGGUGGGCGACCUAGAGCUGAAAAGUAUUCCCGCAUUUUACUGGUGGGCGACCUAGAGCUGAAAAGUAUUCCCGCAUUUUACUGGUGGGAGACCUAGAGCUGAAAAGUAUUCCCGCAUUUUACUGGUGGGCGACCUAGAGCUGAAAAGUAUUCCCGCAUUUUACUGGUGGGCGACCUAGAACUGAAAGUAUUAAAAUUGUUUCCUCGUUCUUCCGAGAAAAUUUUUGACAAUCGGCAGAAAAUUUUCUGCCCCGAUUUUGGUGAUUUCCCUGGCAUCGCGUCCUGCUGCCAUCAUCAAUCCUUCACUUUCCUGCAGCAGACAAAAGGAUUUAGUUAGUUUUAAUCAUGGUGGGAGGAGGUGCCUUUCUGGUGGAUGAUUUUUCCUCUCUUUCCCUUUUCUUGCUCUGUGCCCCCAUAACUGGUUGGUGGACAAAGUUG
rnacentral:lncRNA from 1 species